rnacentral:rRNA from 1 species
UAAUACGGAGGGUGCGAGCGUUAAUCGGAAUUACUGGGCGUAAAGCGUGCGUAGGCGGUAGCGUCAGUCAGCCGUGAAAGCCCCGGGCUUAACCUGGGAACGGCGGUUGAGACGGCGCAACUAGAGUGGGCUAGAGGAUCGUGGAAUUCCGGGUGUAGCGGUGAAAUGCGUAGAGAUCCGGAGGAACACCGAUGGCGAAGGCAGCGGUCUGGGGCCACACUGACGCUGAGGCACGACAGCGUGGGGAGCAAACAGG